AGCUGCACCCAUGGCAUAUGGAAGUUCCCAGGCUAUGGGUCAAAUCGGUGCUGCAGCUGCCGGCCUGCACCACAGCCACAACAACAUGGGAUUCAAGCCGUAUCUGUGACCUACACCAUAGCUCACAGCAACGCCGGAUCCUUAACCCACUGAGCGAGGCCAGGGAUGGAACCCUCGUCCUCAUGGAUCCUAGUGGAGUUCCUUAACUGCUAAGCCAGGAAGGCAACUCCCAGUUUCUGCAUUUUAAAGCUAAGCUGAGGCCUGGGGAGGUUGCCCAUAGUCAGGCAGCUAGACAUGGGCAGGUCAGUGAUUUGAACCCAGGCACCCUGGCUCCAGAAUCUAUCUUCUGAUCAACACUAUGCUUCCUCUCUUUUUAAUAAAAAGCAAAUCCACCAUCACUCUGCUGCUUGACAACCUCGGAUAGAUAGCGUGUCCCUGCAGUUAGAAGACAAUUCUAGGAUUUGCCUCUGUGGCACAACAGGAUAGAUUGUGUCCCUGCAGUGGCAGGAAUUCAAGUUCGAUCCCCAGCCCAGUGGGUUAAGGAUCCAGUGUUGCUGCAGCUGUGGGUGUGACUGAGGCCGACGUCACAACCGCAGCUCAGAUUCAAUCCCUGGCCCUGGAACUCCAUAUGCUGCCGGGUGGCCAAAAAAGAAAAGAAAAAGAUUUUAAAAAGAGACAGUUCUAACUCUUUUGAUGGGUUUUAAUGGCCUCUGUGAAUUGGUCGCUGCUUCUGUCGACCCCCAGCCACACGACCCCCCUCUCUGAUAGGCCUCUUCCUCAGUUCCCCUCGUGGCUGCCUCUGUCACACCCUUCAGAUCUCUAUGUAGUGUCCCUUCCUCGAAGGGCCUCCCCUGACCACCUGUCAAUGAGCUCUCCUCUGAACUUCUCCCUCAUAACAUUCCAUUCGUCUUUAUUAUUAUUAUUAUUAUUUUGUAUUUUCUAGGGCCGCUCAUGCAGCAUAUGGAGGUUCCCAGGCUAGGGGUCAAAUCAGAGCUGUAGCCACCGGCUUACACCAGAGCCGCAGCAACAUGGGAUCCGAGCUGUGUCUGCAACCUACACCACAGCUCACUGCAAUGCGGGAUCCUUAACCCAAUCAGGGAGGCCGGGGAUCGAACCUGAAACCUCAUUGUUCCUAGUCAGAUUCGUUAACCACUGCUCCACGACGGGAACUCCCAUUCAUCUUUUUGUAUUACCUUUAAUGCAACCAGCACUUAUGUUAGUUGAUUAUUUGCUUAUGGUUUCUCUACCUCCUCUGUGGGGUAUAAUAAGCUCCGUGGGGUCCCUCCGGCUCUCCGCCCAGCGCAGGGCUCGGUUAGCUUGAGUCCUCAGAGACACUCAUGGGCAUAAUAAAGGCAGUGCUGGAAGGUGAGCAGGAACUUUGUUCUAGAAUCAGACAGGCCAGGGUUUGACUGAAUCCUCUGAUUUUAGGAGAGUCGUGAACCCUUAUCUGUAACGGGGACGCAGUCAGAGAGCUGUCGCGAGGUUUAAACGAGGUAACCUAGCCACCCGGCACCUGGUAAACCCCCAAGGCCUCAGAGCUGUCACUGUCCCCUUCAUCCUUGUCAUCCUUCUCAGGCAGCAUCACUGGGCACCAGCCAGCCUGUGGGCUGGACCACCCUUGGCCGGGGUCCUAUCCCUGUUCUAACCCGCUCAGGCUGGCAGCGAGGGGCAGCCUGGGAAGACCCAGCUGAGCCUGUGGGUGGGACAGGUACAUGUGGUUGUCAAGUCCAAGUCCACACUCCUCCCACCCACCUCUUCCCCUUCUCCCGGGCCUUUUGGAGCCUUGCCUCCAGGCCCGUCCCUUUCUCGGAGCUGCUCUUCGCACCAGCUGAAUUCAGUCAGUCCUUUCUUCGCCCAGCUUCCUUUCUGCCACUGGACAGCAUCUCGGGCAGUGUAAAGGCUCCUGGCCCCGCAGUGAAGAGGCCGUGCUUAGCAGAGACAGGUAUUUGAUGUUGCGUUGAGAUAGGUUAACCAGACUUCGAAGGAAACACACCGUGGCUUAAUCAUAGCACAGAGCUGAUAACCUCUUGUUUUCUCCUCUUCCUGGGUCACAGGAAGCCCAGAAGGCUCCACCCUUCCCAGCCGUUGCCGGCAGAAACCACCGAAGGGGAUAAGCACCAGAAACCACUGAAGGGGAUAAGCACGUAGAAUGUGUGAAAGAGACAGAUGGAGGAGAAAACACGAGCAGGGCUUAAAAUCUCUUCAUCAGCGGAAAAGCAUGGGAAAUUGGCAAAUCGGAGAGGAAGGGUAGGCAGCCUUGGUCGCUUUAUGUUUAUUCAAAGUGAGAGGGCAGAAGCGAAUGCUUCUCUAGGGAGGGGCUGGAGAUGUGUUCCUGGAAAAGUACCGAAUUAUCCAGGCUUCGGGCUGCCAACUCCUAAGCGCCUUCCUGCCUCCAGCCCUCCUCCACUAACUUGUAGUUAUCUGAGCAGUUUGGUGCUGUUCUCUCUUCCAGGAAUGGCUUUUUUUAAUUCCCUGUUCCCUUAGUGGCCUCAAGAACUCCUGCCCCUUGUAACGGUGUCAUCACUAACUUCAGUCCCUAGGUCUGUGCCUGACACACUGUAGGCACCUCGUAAGUGCUUGUUGAGGGAGUGAUGGCUAUUCAGAAGCUUUUUGAUGCAUACAGAGAUUGUAAACAGGUGAAAAAAGGUACAUGGUGAGGGCCUAGAGCAGACGUCCUGCAGUGGGGUGGAGUCUUGAGGAUUCAUUUUCCCCAAAGGUGACAGAAGCUAAUAAAGGAAAUAUGUCCAACAAAAGGUUAGGCCUGGUCUUGGAGGAGAGUUGCAUUCCCAGUGACAGAGGGGAGCUUGAGCUGGCAGUGGCUUGGGGGGGGGGGCAGUGAAAAGAGGUCAUGCCACACCCAGGAGUCUGGCAGAGGGUAAGAAGGUGGGGCUGGCAUUCAGCUCCCUCGCAACUAGCCAAGAGGCCAAGCUGGGGAGGCCACAUUUUGAUACUUUGUCUUUUUAGGGCUGCACCCCGGGCACAUGGAAGUUCCCAGGCUAGGGGUGGAAUAGGAGCUGUCGCUGCUGGCCUACACCACAGCCACAGCAACACGGGAUCCGCGCGUGUCGGCAGCCUAUACCACAGCUCACGGCAAUGCUGGAUCCUUAACCCCUGAGCAAGGCCAGGGAUCGAACCUGAGUCCUCAUGGAUACUGCUGAGCCACAACGGGAACUCCACAUUUUGAUAUUUUAAUGCUGAUGUUGUAAAGAAACCCUUGCCCUUUUCCCUGGAAGUGUCACCACUAGAAACAGCGUGGGGCCACAGACUCUUCUGGGCUAACAACCAUUCCACCUGUCUCUCUCUGUGGUUGAGGGAUGGAAGACGACUGAAUGGGUGGUGAAAGAUUUUCCAUAUUGAGGUCCACAAACACCCCUCUCUCUCAUCCUCCAUGAUGUAUGAGCGUUAAAAGCAUCACCUGAGGAAGAUUUUGGGAUCUCGUGAGAGUUCUUGAAAAGGAGCACAGAUUGUCAUCUUUUCUGAGAUGGUUUCAGUGAGGCUAAGCUUCCAUGAAAAGGUUAGACCGACGGCUUCCUAGCUCGUACAACCCUAUUCUAUCAUCUGACUCUAGGAUUUCAAAUUUACGUGUGUCGAAUAUUCAUAUGUGCAAUCAGCUUUGUAAUCUCCACACAGUAUGUGUAUUGAUUGGCUUCGUGACCCAUUCGCAAUCACUUUGGACUUCACAUUCUUAUGAAGAUAAUCACAGCCUCUGCUUCACUAAUCCCUUUGUUGAAAUUAUUGCUCUUGGUGUUUAUUCCUACACGAGCGUUAAUGCCAGGAUGCUUUUUUCAUGCAAAGCAGUGUUUCCUGUCUAUCCUUUUCUCUGAUUGCAUAUCAGGAAAAAAGAAGGCAAAUAAGACCUUGAUAUUAGUCUAAAGGGGAAGGUGCUAAUGAGAGGCACGUGCUGCAGUGGAAGGAAGACAGACUAGGUAGAUGUCAUUCAUUUACCAAAUUGACAUACGGACAUUUAUUGACCGUAACUGUUAUAGUCCUAGGUUAGGUGAUCUGGGUUCAAAUCCUAGCUCAGUCACUUCCUCGCUCUGUGACCUGGGUGACUAACUAUCUGGUUUGCCCAGGACUGUUGUUUUAGCGCUGAAAGCCCUGCAUGCCAGGAAACCUCUUAAUCCUGGGCAUUUUGGGACAGUUGACCACCUUAAAUCACUCGUACUUAUAUGUGACAUAGGGAAGUUGAUUGUUUUUUAUAUCAUGACUUUGGGGUCAGGAUCAAAUGAGAUACGGUGAAAGAUCUCUGAGUUGUUAACUGCCACAGAAAUGUAAAGUACUCUUUGCUUUUUUUCACCCCAGUUUCAUGGAACCAGGGGCUUGGAUCUAGAACUAGCUUUUCACACUGGGGUGAGACAGGUACUGAGGGGUAGGGGAACCCCGGACUUCUCAGCUACUGGGGUACUUUCCAUCUGACUGCAAAGUUUGGUGCCCAAGGCGGGGGGGCUGACAAUACCACAUCAGACAAACUGCAAGAGGUCCAAACAAAGUGGCCAUGGGCUCUGGUUGUUCUCAAGUGCAUCCGUUUGCAAGCUGGUGUCAGGGCCACAGCAGGGGGGCAAGGAGUUUGGGGAUCUAUGGGAAGGGAAGGGCCAGAGUGGCCCCAUUGGCCUCGUAGAGGGACCUGGGGUAUCGGGUAGGUACCUUGAACAUGAACAGGACCAAACAGGCACCAAAGCAGAGCCCUGUUCCCAGACCAAGACCCAACACUGGGGGCAGAUCGUCAGCCAGGAUGAGUCAUAGGCUGGGCCACCGAAUAUGGGCCUGAGGCGGAAGUGUGAAGAGUCUGGGAAAGGCAUUUGGGGGAGAAAAGUGGAAUUUCCCACUCUGCUGGGGUCACAGUUCUGCGUGAUUUUACUGUCUUUUUGCAGAAUUUUCUAACCCUGAGUAGCUAGCAUCUGCAUACUCCCACCUCUAUCUUUAUUCAUACGAUUUUUUUUUACAGUCUUCUCAUCACCUUUGUGCUUAUUUUUUAUGAAAAUCAACACUUUUUCUUCUUCUUAGAGCUGCACCUGCAGCAUAUGGAAGUUCCCAGGCUAGGGGGCGAAUUGGAGCUGCAGCUGCAAGCCUAUGCCACAGCCACAGCAAUGCCAGAUCCCUGAGCCAAAUCUGCAACCUACACCACAGCUCAAGGAAACUCCGGAUCCUUCACCCACUGACGGAGGCCAGGGAUCCAACAGGCAUCCUCACGGAUGCUAGUUGGAUUAUUUCCUCCACUUUAUUGAAGGGAAAUGAGUUUCAGAGAACUUAGCUGAAUAACGUAUGUUUAUACCGUAAAUCAGGAAGUUGGCAUUUGAGCUCAGUUCUGCUUUACCUAAAGCCCUGGUCAAUUCCACUCUAGGAUCUGGCAUCUCAAUUCGGGCCCUUCAAGAUUUGAUUCAUGUAUCACUUGUUCAGCGUGUCAUCCUUCCUGCACCCUGGGUUACUGGUUCUUCUCAGAAGCAUAUCUUUAACCCACCAUGACUAUAAAGCAUCUGUCUGAUCCAAAUCUCCACCUGUUUAGAAUGUACUUUGAGUCAGUGCCACUCACAGCGCUGGUCUGCGAGCUGUUGGUUAUGAGUCCACAAAGAUAAAGCACUUGGGCCAGAAUGUAAAUCCACCACCUGACACUUUAAACAUUUUUUCCUACAGCAAGACAUUCUCGAUGAAGAAUUGUCUUGGGUGUACUUUCUGGCAUAAGUUCCUUAUCUCAUAGCGGAGCAGUAAGAACAGCGGCAAGAUGAACACGGAUCCAGAAAUGGGCCCUGCGCCAAGGACAACACUCUGAGUAAUGCUGCUUGAGCUAACAUCGCGUCUCCUUCUUCCUGGCUGCUGUCAACUUUGGAUGAUGGCAACAGCCUCAGAUGGUCUUCCCCACUGCCCUUGGUUUCCAAAUCUAUUUGUGAUGCUUGCCUACUUAAAACCCCUUGGUGGCUCCCGAGAAAGUCCACACUCCAAUCCAAAGGCUCUGCUUUCUCUCUCUCUCCCUUGCCCCCUGGGCUCCAGCUUUCCUGCGGGGCAUGGGGCAGUUCCCCAGACGGGCCAUGUGCUCACCU
rnacentral:lncRNA from 1 species